rnacentral:rRNA from 1 species
GAUGAACGCUGGCGGCGUGCCUAAUACAUGCAAGUCGAGCGAACGGACGAGAAGCUUGCUUCUCUGAUGUUAGCGGCGGACGGGUGAGUAACACGUGGAUAACCUACCUAUAAGACUGGGAUAACUUCGGGAAACCGGAGCUAAUACCGGAUAAUAUUUUGAACCGCAUGGUUCAAAAGUGAAAGACGGUCUUGCUGUCACUUAUAGAUGGAUCCGCGCUGCAUUAGCUAGUUGGUAAGGUAACGGCUUACCAAGGCAACGAUGCAUAGCCGACCUGAGAGGGGGAUGGGCCACACUGGAACUGAGACACGGUCCAGACUCCUACGGGAGGCAGCAGUAGGGAAUCUGCCGCAAUGGGCGAAAGCCUGACGGAGCAACGCGGCGUGAGUGAUGAAGGUCUUCGGAUCGUAAAACUCUGUUAUUAGGGAAGAACAUAUGUGUAAGUAACUGUGCACAUCUUGACGGUACCUAAUCAGAAAGCCACGGCUAACUACGUG